AUUGAACGCUGGCGGCAGGCCUAACACAUGCAAGUCGAGCGGAUGAAGGGAGCUUGCUCCUGGAUACAGCGGCGGACGGGUGAGUAAUGCCUAGGAAUCUGCCUGGUAGUGGGGGAUAACGUCCGGAAACGGGCGCUAAUACCGCAUACGUCCUGAGGGAGAAAGUGGGGGAUCUUCGGACCUCACGCUAUCAGAUGAGCCUAGGUCGGAUUAGCUAGUUGGUGGGGUAAAGGCCUACCAAGGCGACGAUCCGUAACUGGUCUGAGAGGAUGAUCAGUCACACUGGAACUGAGACACGGUCCAGACUCCUACGGGAGGCAGCAGUGGGGAAUAUUGGACAAUGGGCGAAAGCCUGAUCCAGCCAUGCCGCGUGUGUGAAGAAGGUCUUCGGAUUGUAAACCGCUUUUGUCAGGGAAGAAAUCCUUUGGGCUAAUAACUCGGAGGGAUGACGGUACCUGAAGAAUAAGCACCGGCUAACUACGUG
rnacentral:rRNA from 1 species